rnacentral:rRNA from 1 species
GACGAACGCUGGCGGCGUGCUUAACACAUGCAAGUCGAACGGACCGAGUUGAUAGCUUGCUAUUGAUGAGGUUAGUGGCGGACGGGUGAGUAACGCGUGGGUAACCUGCCUCACACUGGGGGAUAACAGUUAGAAAUGACUGCUAAUACCGCAUAAGUGCACAGGACCGCAUGGUCUAGUGUAAAAAACUCCGGUGGUAUGUGAUGGAUCCGCGUCUGAUUAGCUUGUUGGCGGGGUUACGGCCCACCAAGGCGACGAUCAGUAGCCGGCCUGAGAGGGUGAACGGCCACAUUGGGACUGAGACACGGCCCAAACUCCUACGGGAGGCAGCAGUGGGGAAUAUUGCACAAUGGGGGAAACCCUGAUGCAGCGACGCCGCGUGAGUGAAGAAGUAUUUCGGUACGUAAAGCUCUAUCAGCAGGGAAGAAAAUGACGGUACCUGACUAAGAAGCCCCGGCUAACUACGUG